ensembl:snRNA U2 U2 spliceosomal RNA
AUCGUUUCUCGGCCUUUUGGCUAAGAUCAAGUGUAGUAUCUAUUCUUAUCAGUUUAAAAAUGCAGGUAUCACACACGUUUCUUUCAAAAAUAAUAGAUUAUAUUAUGGACUGACAAAGUGUUUGUAGGUGCUAAAUUUGUCUUUAUUAGAUUAUUUUGCAAGUUCAAGUAAAUACUGGUAAACUGUA